AGAGAAAGCAUCCAAAGGGAUCGCAUUGAUCCUAAUUAAGCUGAUUUAUUCCCCAAUAUUUUUUUUUUCCUCAUUCGAAAGUUGAAGAGAAAAAAACAAAUUCCAAACAUUUGCUUUCUUCUCCGGAUCAUGCGAUCUCUUUGGAUUCAUUCUU
rnacentral:pre_miRNA from 1 species